AACUGAUACUACCUGCGGGAACCUGCGGAGGGAUCAUUAUAGAGUUCCUGCCCUCUGGGCAGACCUCCCACCCGUUGUCAUUAUUACCAUUGUUGCUUUGGCGGGCCGUCCGGGCACCGCUCGGCCGCCGGCUCCCCGCUGGCGCGCGCCCGCCAGAGGCCCCUAAACUCUAUGUCUGGUGUCGUCCGAGUCCCACUCAAUAGUCAAAACUUUCAACAACGGAUCUCUAGAUCGGAAGAG
rnacentral:misc_RNA from 1 species